UCGCUUCAGCAGCACAUAUACUAAAAUUGGAACAAUGUAGAGAAGAUUAGCAUGGCCCCUGCGCAAGGAUGACAUACAAAUUCAUGAAGCAUUCCAUAUUUUA
ensembl:snRNA U6 U6 spliceosomal RNA